AGCAGCAGCAGCAGCAGCAGCAGCAGUCCCUUGUUUCAGGGCCUCCCCAGGCUCCAGGUGGCCCUCAGGGAGGAAUCCACUUUUUCCAAAAGGCAGAGCUGGUACACCAGAACUUAGAUCCUGCUUCUCAGCCCCUCAGCCUGCUCUCUCUGCUCUAGUUCAGUCCUGCCUCACCGUUCCACACCUCGUGCUGCCUCCCACCUUCUGGCAUGUUCUAGUGUCCCUCUGCCAGGAGUGAUAGGGGACCAAUCUCAAGGCUCCACGUGUCUCCAAAUUGGUCCUGAGGGUCCUCUACUGUUCUGGGGCCAAGAUUACCAUCCUGUGUAACACUGAGGGGGCCCGAGGGGGUCCUGGGGCCAAUUUCCAGCCCUGCCAAUCGCGUGUCUCUAGUUGUGACUUGUAUCAUAUUCUGAACCUUGAUGUGUGGAUCUAUAAAAUGGGAAAAGUAACACCUUGCCCCAGAGAAUAGUUGUGAGGCUUGGAAAUAAGGUUUAGAAAGUACACAGCCCAGUUCAUGCAUGGGACUGGACUCUGGCCAGGCUAGCUACAUUGUUAAUCUGCCAUCUGGGGACAGCACCCAGCAGGGUUUCUCUCAGGGAGGGAGGAAAACAGGCUACCUGUUCUGUAGACAGGAACCAAGGAAAUAGCAGAGGGCCAGUGGUCCUGAGAGCUCUCUGAGGGGUCUCAUGGUAGGUAGUAUAUCUGGGAGACCUGGGGGAAAGUAAAGGAAGGAGGAGAAUCCAAGAUAAAGGGCGCUACUGCAGGGAAAUGGGGCUGGGCCUCACCGAGACUGUAAGAUGUGUCUCACAACUGUCCACCUGACGGUGUGCGUUUAUCCACGGGCUCUUCUGUCCCGUUGGUUGAGUGUUGCCUCUAAGGGCAUUGGUUUCCUGAGCCUAUGGACUCCACAGGCAUGUGUGCUGAACAAGGUCCCACUGGUAUCCACAAAGGCAUGGAAACUCUGGGGCAGAGGGGAAGACUUACGGAGUACUGGAGGUGCCACAAAGCAACCAGAUCCAUCUAAAACAACCAGCUUCUGCUGGUUCUACCCUGGGCUUUGAGGUAACUUGGAGCCAAAUCAGUACCUGAGGCAGAUCUGACAGGGCACCUGCCUUCCUGCUGGCCUGAAAAGGACAGGCACUCCCCUGGAAAAGCUCUGUCUUCCCGACAUUAGGUAGGUGUCCUUGGUAGUGCUGGUGGAGGCGAGAUUUAAGGCCAGUCUGUGGACUUCCCAGAGUGGAUGUGUGUGGGCUCCUCCCUCACUGUCUGCAUAUGUACUUAGAACUAAAACAGGUAUUUUUUUUUUUUUCUUCUUUCAUUUUCUUGAAAACAUCUCCAAAAAAAAACUGGUGUGAGUAGCAAUACUUGAAAAUCUAUCCAUCCACUCAUCUAGACAGAGUUUCCCUGGCCUGGGGCUUCCUCAUUUUGAAAUAUCCAGCCUGAAUUCAUCAUUGGGAACAUCCUCAGGCCUACUUCAGCCAUUCCCUUGUUUUGUGUCCCUGGAUGAAGUCACAAUGCUGAAACCCAGUGUCCUCUUCUGUAAGCCAGAAGCCAGAAGUCAUGAUCACAGUGACCUCACAGGGUUGCUAAGGGGCUGAGAUGAGAGUCCGAAUGUGUCAGAUCUUUGCUAACAAUGAAAUGGUGUACAGAUGGAAGGCAUCUACCUCUCCUUAUCCCUUUUAUCACCUUCGUUGUCCUUACUAUGGUCAUCCUCAACAGAAGGGAAGAGUAACAUUUCUUACAGCAGAGUGGGCUUUGCUGAUGCCCUUGGAGACCCCUGUCUGAAGUAGGCCACGCAUGGGCUGUCUGGAGGAAAUGGAUUGAAUUGAUAAUCAGUUUCAUUAGGGGUCUGCUUCAGAGGUGGGUCCACGGGAACCUUAACCCACACUUCCACUGGGCUGUCCGCUAGGAUGGCCUAGGCCUCCCUGGCUAUACAUAGCUUGGUGAUGUGAAAGGCUUAGAGGCAGGAACUUCAAAGGAAGCUGCAGCUAAUGAAAAAUUCAAGCUAAUUGUUCGUUAAAAAGCCCUGCUGCUUUGGAUGGGAUCCUCUAGGCUGGGGAGGGGGAUGUGUGGUGGCCUGUGGCUACCGUCAGCUCGUCAGGAGGACCCAAGAGCGGGGGCUGGAGAGGAUGGGGAGCUUCCUGGGCAGGCAGCCAAGGGCUGCAUCUCUGGUGUCUGCAUUUGCGGGAGGGGGAGGCUCCACGGAAGCUCUGGCUUCCAUUGUGCUAAAGCACAAUGCCUCUGCCUAAACAGCUAUGUCUGUGUGGCUGGCGGGUGCCUACUGUGUGUGCUGAGAGGUGUGCAGAGGAAGAGGGAAGAUAGAGAAGUAUCCUGUUAAGUCUCCAGGAUAAGUCAAGACCCAGUGGGGAUGGGUCAGUGAUUGGAGAAACACUUUCUCCUACUCUGGGAUAAGAAGUGUCCAUUCUGUGGGCAGUGGGCUUCGCCUGAGGUGUGCCUGCUCUGAGGCAGGGGAAACAAGAAAUGUGUUUGGUAGUGAAGGUAACUAGGGAGGAGUUAACUCAAGGAUAUUGGUCCCUGCUGAGGCCCCCGGCUGGGAUAAUGUGAGCACCGAGUUAGAAUUAUGUGACAGGCAUAGUCAAGAUGAGUGGGGGCGGCCAGGAUGUGUGGGGGAGGGCUGCUCAUUGUGUGGAUCCUGGGAGCAGUCCCAGAGGCAUGGAUCGAGAGUGGGGAGAUUAGCUCAGACUACUUGAUAAACGGAUUGAGGUUGCAAGAAGUGGCCGUGAGGAUCAGCUCGAAAGUUGAAAGCAGAGAAGACAGAGGUGUGUAGGGGGUUGCCUGUGGGUCUGGAGAGGUGAGAUGGCACCAUGGAAUUUGAGAUUCCAGGGGUCAUAUGGAGAGCAGUUCCAGCCCUAAAACUGCACGUGAAGUAUAGUGAGGAAGGGCUACACUUUCCCAGGCCAAGGCUAAAUGAGAAAGCUGGGCUCUUUGAUGGUGUUUCCCAGAGUGAAAGCUCAUUAGGGGACGUGUUGUUGUUUUUCAGUCACCCAGUUGUGUCCAGCUCUUUGUGACCCCAUGGACAGCAGCAUGCCAGGCUUCUCUGUCCCUCACCAUCUCCCAGAGUUUGCCCAAGUUCAUGUCCAUUGCACUGAUGAUGCCAUCCAGCCAUCUCAUCCUCUGAUGCCCUCUUCUCCUUCUGCCCUCAAUCUUUCCCAGCAUCAGGGACUUUUCCAAUGAGUCAGCUGUUCAUGCCAGAUGAUCAAAAUACUGGAGUUUCAGCUUCAGCAUCAGUCCUUCCAAGGAGUAUUCAGGGUUGAUUUCCCUUAAGACUGACUGGUUUGAUCUCCUUGGGGGCAUACUUUUGGGUAAAACUCUGUCAAGCUGGUUUUCAUCUAUUUGCCUGACACUGACCUCUCUUGUUGAGUAUAAUCUGUACUGCAAGAUUUCCUCACUGUAGAGAAAAAUAUUUUUCAAUGUGGCAAGUGGAGAUGGCAUGGAGCCUGGAGGCACACAGAUUGGAGUCCAAAUCCUGGCUAUAAACUGUGUCCCUAACACCUUGGAACUGAUCUUUGGUGAUGUCACCUUUCAGAUCUGGGUUUUCUCAUUGGUAAGAUGUGGACAAGCAGUAGUGCCCACCUUGGGACUGUGGUGUGGCCUGAAUGAAACAAAUUUCCUGUGUGAUAUCUGGCAUGUAAGUACAUGCUCAUACCCUGUGAUGAAUGGAUGGCUUUCUGAAUCUGGCAUCUUCUAAUGGUGCAGAAGAAAAAUUCUCAUGCCUCCGGUGAAGGUAAUGAAAAUGACCAAGGAUUCUGGGAGACCUUCUCUUUGAGGUGGCCUGAAAUUUUGCGAAGUUUCUUCACUUGAAAUGUCUACAGCCUGGUUUUUGCCAGCAGAGUCUCUGGAGCUGACCUUCCUGCAGGAGGAUUCCAGGGGCAGGGAGACCUGGUUAGAUGCAGAGACGGGAACCUGUCCUGUGGGGAGAGGAGGGAUGGAAAGUGGGAGGAGGUGGAAGUGGGACAUUUCUGUAUGAAAGUCUGGAGAGGUCACUCUUUUGUGUGGUAUCUGAGGAUUGAACAAGUGGAAACAGGCUUAGGUUCAUGCACCAUGGAGGCGAAGGGUGGACUUAGAAGAAAAUUCCUAGUGAGUUGGUUGUCUCAUUUCCCUCCUGGGAGAUUAUUCCUAAAAUUGAGGCAAUUCUUGAUAGUCUGGUUCAGGAGAAAACACAGUCAUGAAGACCUCUCCAUUGUUCUAUUUUAUUGCUUUCUAAAAUAAACAGGGGGCUUCCCAGGUGACGCAGUGGUAAAAAUCUGCCUUCCAGUACAGGAGAUGAAAGAGGCGUGUGUUCGAUCCCUGGGUCUGGAAGAUCCCCUGGAGAAGGAAAUGUCAACCUACUCUAGUAGCUCAGUCGGUAAAGAAUCUGCCUGGAGUACAGGACGCCCAGGUUCAAUUCCAGGAUCAGAAAGAUCUUCCAGAGAAGGAAAUGGCAACCCUUUCAGUAUUCUUGCCUGGAGAAUCCCAUGGACAGAGGAGCCUGGCAGGCUACAGUCCAUGGGGUUGCAAGAGUUGGAUAGGACUUAGCGACUAAACCACCACCACUAAAAUAAACACGUCACAGAGGAAUACAGUUUUGCAAAAGAUUCAAACAAUACAUACAUCAGUAAAUAAAGUAAAUGGUGAACACAUUCUUGGUUCCCAAGUUACCUCUUUCAUUCCUGCUACCUUCCAGAGGGAUACCACUGUUCACAGUUUGAUGUGUGUUCUUUCAGAAUCUUGCCCAUAUAUUUACAUGUAUAUGUUGUUGUUUAGUUGCUAAGUUGUGUCUGACUCUUUGCGACCCCAAGGACUGUAGCCUGCCAGGUUCCUCUGUCCAUAUUUAAAAUAGAUAUAAAGCUUUUAAGCAUGAUAUUUGUAUUGUUCUGUAACAUAUUUUUGUAUGAAAUAUGUUUGAAGAUCUUCCCAUAUUUUUUUUACAUACAGACUGGCCUUAAUUAAAAAAACACCUACAAGUUUAGUUCAGUUCAGUUCAGUCGCUCAAUUGUGUCCGACUCUUUGUGACCCCAUGAAUCGCAGCACGCCAGGCCUCCCUGUCCAUCACCAACUCCCAGAGUUCACUCAGACUCGCGUCCAUUGAGUCAGUGAUGCCAUCCAGCCAUCUCAUCCUCUG
ensembl:lncRNA